ACCUCGGUGGUGUAGUGGUAGCAUGAGUCCCCUCUAUGGAUGGAACGCGGGUAUGACUCCAGUCUGAGGUU